CUGGGUCACACAUUGACGAUUUCUACUAUCGUCAUUGAUUGGGUUUAUUCCAGAUUAAAAUUUGUAAAAGGUCUGAUUUAAAUCUUGUAAAUCAUGUUAUGAAAUUAAAAUUCAAUUAACAAUUCAUUUGAUUAUGACAACAACAAGAUAUUGAUAAGGAAACGUAAAAAGUGAGGCGUUAACAGCCUUAUUCGAGUCGAUUAUCCCUUUUCUUAUCCGAUUAUUAUAUGCUGC
rnacentral:lncRNA from 1 species